UUUCAGAACGGUUGGUGGGAGGCAAACCUGGAAGCAUAUUAAAAGGAUUUGAUUUGCAAACAUCUUUACCUUUAAUCUGAGCAAUAUUUUAACAGGAUACUCUAGGCAAUCUGGCAUCAUUCUUAUGUCCCUGCAGUCCUCUUAGAUUGCAAUCUCUAGGUUGUUGUUGUACAUUCUGAUGGCUAGAUGAUCUGGGUUGCGAUUGAAAGUUGCUAUUCUUGAGGGGAAGGCUCACAGCUUGUAGGAGCCAAUCUAAAAGGUUAUUCAUAUCAUCAAUCAAUCUGUAAAGAAGAUUCAAAGAGGGGAUGUGAAUAAAACCAAAUCUUCUACCUUGACGGCUUAGCUUGUUUGGAACGAAGAUUUCAGCAAUAUCCCCCAAUUUGGACAGAGUUAACCAUAGACCUUUAGCAGACGAUUCUGGUGAGAAGUUCUCAAGAUAAAUGGAGGGUAGAUUGCAG
rnacentral:misc_RNA from 1 species